UGAAUACGAGAUGCUACGGCGUCGAAGCAGUGUAUGUCAGACUUCCAAGAAAAGCUCGCAAUGUCAUAAAUAAAGAAUGCCUGUACCAUAACCGACACAGGUGGGUAGGUAGAGUAUACUAAGGGGCGCGAGAUAACUCUCUCUAAGGAACUCGGCAAAAUAACUCCGUAACUUUGGGAGAAGGAGUGCCUUCUUUAAGAAGGUUGCAAUAACAAGAUCCAAGCAACUGUUUACCAAAAACACAGGUCUCCGCUAAGUCGUAAGUCGAUGUAUGGGGGCUGACGCCUGCCCAGUGCCAGAAGGUUAAAGAAGCUGGUUAGCAAUAGCGAAGCUGGUGACUGAAGCCCUGGUGAACGGCGGCCGUAACAAUAACGGUCCUAAGGUAGCGAAAUUCCUUGUCGGGUAAGUUCCGACCCGCACGAAAGGCGUAAUGAUUUGGAUACUGUCUCGGAGAGGGACUCGGUGAAAUAGACUUGUCUGUGAAGAUGCGGACUACCUGCACCAGGACAGAAAGACCCUAUGAAGCUUUACUGUAACCUGAAAUUGAAAUUGGACUUUAUUUGCGCAGUAUAGGUGGGAGGCGUUGAAAGUAAUCUUGCGGGAUUAGUGGAGCCAUCAGUGAGAUACCACUCCUAUAAUGUUAGAUUUCUAACUUUGGAUCAUGAUCUGGUCAAAGAACAGUUUCAGGCGGGCAGUUUGACUGGGGCGGUCGCCUCCCAAAUGGUAACGGAGGCGUACAAAGGUUUCCUCUGAACGGGUAGAAAUCGUAUCUAGAGUGUAAAGGCAUAAGGAAGCUUGACUGUGAGACCUACAAGUCGAGCAGGGACGAAAGUCGGUCUUAGUGAUCUGGCGGUGCUGAGUGGAAAGGCCGUCACUCAACGGAUAAAAGUUACUCUAAGGAUAACAGGCUGAUCUCCCCCAAGAGUUCACAUCGACGGGGAGGUUUGGCACCUCGAUGUCGGCUCAUCGCAUCCUGGGGCGGUAGUACGUCCCAAGGGUUGGGCUGUUCGCCCAUGAAAGCGGUACGCGAGCUGGGUUCAGAACGUCGUGAGACAGUUCGGUCCAUAUCCGGUGUAGGCGUUAGAAUAUUGAGAGGAGCCUUCUCUAGUACGAGAGGACCGAGAAGGACAUACCUCUGGUGUACCAGUUAUCGUGCCAACGGUAAACGCUGGGUAGCUAUGUAUGGAGAGGAUAACCGCUGAAAGCAUCUAAGUGGGAAGCCCACCUCAAGAUGAGUAUUCUCA
rnacentral:rRNA from 1 species